GCAGUGAUACAAAACAGAUAUAUCAUGUCAGAACAUAAUUCGUGGGUGUUACUUUAUUAUAAUGGACUAGGGAACAAUUUUUUACGAUGUAAAAGGUGUCCAAAAGUUUAUAUGAAAUUCUAUAUUAAGACGAAAGUUUUUAAAAGACAUCUUAGACAGAUGCAUCCGGAAGAAAUACGUCAGAAAGUAGAUAUAGGACCACGUUGGGAGCUACAGUUUGGGGAUUUCAAUGGCGAAAAAAUCCAAUGCACUUUUUGCCAUAGAAAUUAUUAUGCAGGCGAACGUAACGGGCUUCUACAAACACAUUUGGAAGACGGUCAUCAAAUUUAUGAAAUUACUAAAAAGGAUAAACAGAUUAAUUGGCUGAAUAAUUAUAUUGAGGUAGAUGGGUCAAAAUGCUUAAUAUGCAACCACAUUUUUCGAAGAGGCUCAGAAUUUAUUUAUUACAGAAAACAUUUAUUGUUUAAUCAUGACAUUAUUCCACCUUUCGAUAAAUUAUCCCCCGAAUAAUUAGAUCAUAAGAGAAAAGAUUACUAAGAAAAUUCAAGUUGAAAGUUCAAUAAAGCUCGAAUUUAAUAACAGAGAUACAGAUUCCAAAACAAAUUUUAAAGACGAUGCUAUACAUCAAGCAGCUAUCGGUAACAAUAACGGCAAUUUUAAAUCAAACUUACGGUUUAUUGCUACAAAUAAAUGAAGAAAUUAACGAUCUUGACAAAUAUUAAUUUUUUUGUAUUUUAUAUAGAGCAACAUUAUGAAUUAAAUAUAACCUUUUUUUUGCAUA